ACCCUCCAGAUUCUUUAUCCUUCCGAGCUCAACCUUGGUCUGAGCGGCUAUGAAAGGAGGCAAAGCAAAGCUGAAGUGGACUUGGGUUCUGUAGUGACACACAGGUUUGUCUCAAACAGUA
rnacentral:snoRNA from 1 species